rnacentral:rRNA from 1 species
AUUGAACGCUGGCGGCAGGCCUAACACAUGCGAGUCGAGCGGAUGAAGGGAGCUUGCUCCUGGAUUCAGCGGCGGACGGGUGAGUAAUGCCUAGGAAUCUGCCUGGUAGUGGGGGAUAACGUCCGGAAACGGGCGCUAAUACCGCAUACGUCCUGAGGGAGAAAGUGGGGGAUCUUCGGACCUCACGCUAUCAGAUGAGCCUAGGUCGGAUUAGGUAGUUGGUGGGGUAAAGGCCUACCAAGGCGACGAUCCGUAACUGGUCUGAGAGGAUGAUCAGUCACACUGGAACUGAGACACGGUCCAGACUCCUACGGGAGGCAGCAGUGGGGAAUAUUGGACAAUGGGCGAAAGCCUGAUCCAGCCAUGCCGCGUGUGUGAAGAAGGUCUUCGGAUUGUAAAGCACUUUAAGUUGGGAGGAAGGGCAGUAAGUUAAUACCUUGCUGUUUUGACGUUACCAACAGAAUAAGCACCGGCUAACUUCGUG